AUUGAACGCUGGCGGCAUGCCUUACACAUGCAAGUCGAACGGCAGCACGGGAGCAAUCCUGGUGGCGAGUGGCGAACGGGUGAGUAAAGUAUCGGAACGUGCCCAGUCGUGGGGGAUAACGUAGCGAAAGUUACGCUAAUACCGCAUACGAUCUACGAAUGAAAGCGGGGGAUCGCAAGACCUCGCGCGAUUGGAGCGGCUGAUAUCAGAUUAGGUAGUUGGUGAGGUAAAGGCUCACCAAGGCGACGAUCUGUAGCGGGUCUGAGAGGAUGAUCCGCCACACUGGGACUGAGACACGGCCCAGACUCCUACGGGAGGCAGCAGUGGGGAACUUUGGACAAUGGGGGCAACCCUGAUCCAGCCAUGCCGCGUGAGUGAAGAAGGCCUUCGGGUUGUAAAGCUCUUUCGGCCGGGAAGAAAUCGCACAGGCUAAUACUCUGUGUGGAUGACGGUACCGGCAUAAGAAGCACCGGCUAACUACGUGCCAGCCGCCGCUGUAA
rnacentral:rRNA from 1 species